UAUUGAGUCAUUAGCAGUAUUUACAUAUCUGAGCAUCAGUAGAAUAGCAAUCGUGACAGUGAGUAGAGCACAGGGAGUUCCCAGGGAGGAGGAGCGGAUCUACCACACCUUGAAGAAAAGAACAGCCUCAGCUCUAGGGGACCCAAUCCCAUUCUAGCCUCAGAUCUUCAAAAGGGAGGGGCUGGCCCCAUCUCUGGCACAGAAGAGGAAGCCUUGAGUUGCCCCAAAGGCCGUUGAACAAUGCUCUGCUCUCUUCUUUCCCUUCUCCUUCUCAGUGUUUCCUUAGGUACCCAAGCUCAGACUGUCCAUCAAUGGCCACCUGCCAGGGUGCAGUCUGUGGGCAGCCCUCUGUCUCUGGAGUGCACCGUGAAGGGAACAUCAAAUCCUAACCUAUACUGGUACCGGCAGGCCGCAGGAGGGGCCCUCCAGCAGCUCUUCUACUCCAUCAGUGCUGACCAGGUAGACGCCGUGGCCUCCCAUGGCCUCACAGCCUCCAGAAAGAAGGAUGGCCAGUUCUUCCUGCAUUCUGAAAAGCUGCUCCUCAGUGACUCUGGCUUCUAUCUCUGUGCCUGGAGUCUCACACUGAGCUGGGUGGGGCAGACAUCUGUGCAAAAACUCCACCCUUUCCUGAACCCUCACCACCCGCCCUCCCUGGAAGCCCUUACCCAGAGAUGGGUGGAAGAUGUUUGUAACUAG